GUGCCAGCCGCCGCGGUAAUACGGGGGGUGCAAGCGUUGUUCGGAAUUAUUGGGCGUAAAGAGCGUGUAGGCGGUUGGACAAGUCAGAUGUGAAAGCCCUGGGCUUAACUCAGGAAGUGCAUUUGAAACUGUUCAGCUGGAGUAAGGGAGAGGAAAGUGGAAUUCCUGGUGUAGAGGUGAAAUUCGUAGAUAUCAGGAGGAACACCGGUGGCGAAGGCGACUUUCUGGCCCUAUACUGACGCUGAGACGCGAGAGCGUGGGUAGCAAACAGGAUUAGAUACCCUGGUAGUCCACGCUGUAAACGAUGUUCACUAGGUGUUGGGAGUAUUGACCCUCUCAGUGCCGCAGCUAACGCAUUAAGUGAACCGCCUGGGGAGUACGGUCGCAAGAUUAAAACUCAAAUAAAUUGACGG
rnacentral:rRNA from 1 species